CAGCAGCCGCGGGAAUACGAGGGGGGCAAGCGUUGUUCGGAAUUAUUGGGCGUAAAGGGUGCGUAGGCGGUCUGACAAGUCUUGUGUGAAAUCUCUGGGCUCAACCCAGAGUCUGCACGGGAAACUGUCGGGCUAGAGGGUGAGAGAGGUGAGUGGAAUUUCCGGUGUAGCGGUGAAAUGCGUAGAUAUCGGAAGGAACACCUGUGGCGAAAGCGGCUCACUGGACCAUAACUGACGCUGAUGCACGAAAGCUAGGGGAGCGAACGGGAUUAGAUACCCCAGUAGUCCCUGUCUCUUAUAC
rnacentral:rRNA from 1 species